AAGUCGUAACAAGGUUUCCGUAGGUGAACCUGCGGAAGGAUCAUUAACACGAACUAUUUAUCCAAUACCAAAACCAAACGUGAACUUUUCCCCUCCCUAUAUGUAGACACACAUCUAUAUAUAGGCUAACCGCAAGCUUUUUUUAAAGUUUGCCACAUAAUUUUAAACCUCUUUGAAACUCUGACUAGUUCGCGGCCGAAAGGCGGAACUUUACUAAAAGUAACUAAGAAUUCAAUAUUCUGUAUUGCUUUCUUUGAUUUUAUGAAAUUAUUAAGAACAACUCUUAACAAUGGAUAUCUUGGUUCUC
rnacentral:misc_RNA from 1 species